UUCUACUGAAAGAAAAUUCUGUAACUUCAAAAAUGGCAGUCUUCCAGAAAUGGAAAUACAUUGAUCAACAGGAAACCUAAGGUCUAAAACUGCAAAGGAUUGCAGCUACAGAUUUAUGGAGAAUGAAUCAUACUGUCUGGAGAUUCACAGAAUUCCUAUCAAAAAAAUGAAACUUUAUGCCAAGCUACUUCAAGGAGAAGAUUGUGAGAAUGAGACAGUCCUUAUAAAAAUGAACAUAAUCUGAGAGCAGAGGUGAAACGAUACCAAAAGAAUCAGGUAGGGGAGCAGUCUCAGAGGUGAUGAGACAAACACUUGAGGAUGGUUGAUAGCACUGGAUUGCAGAGUAAACAAGAAGAUGGUACUGGAUCCCAGGGCAUGGAAAAACAUCAGGAAGAAAAGCUUACUGAAAUCAUGCAAAGUCAUAAAACAACUGACUGGAUGCACAAACGGUUCUCACCCCUUUCCACCUGAAAGAACUGGGCAUGGUGAGAAAAUGCUUGCUCAGUGUUUGCCUUUGAAUAAUGAAAUAAAAUAUAAUGGUCAGUAAAGUUAAGCUUUUAAGAGUAAAUCAGUUCUGUUUUCACUGGAAGGCAGUCUGGGUUGCCCUGAAACACUGAAGCCAUCUGCAGUUCCCACAUCGAUUUUCUUCUCCACGGCACCAAACAUACAAAGCCAGCAGGCGCCUUUGAGCGCUCUCUCAGCCGCAUGGAGAAAACAGAUAAAGCCCUCUGGGCCUCCUGCAUGUUUGUGCGCAGCCUCACCUGUGUGACACCUGGCUGUGCCCAGCACAGGAAUCAGCACAGCGAGCUGAGAAGUCUGCUGAAUUGGCAUAUUUGUGUGCAGGGGGAAAUGCUGCCAGGGAACUGUGACCUGCCUCUUCUCUGCAAUGCACUGGCGUGCAGCAUCCCAACAGGAGCAGCAUUGUUUUGUGCCAAGUGCCUCGGAGACAGAGGAGACUGUGCCCAAUUUGGUGGAAAUAAAAAGCAACCUCCUAUUUUUGUUAUUUGCUGCUCUAGCGAAAACCGCGCUUACCCUGAUCCAUCAGAAAAUACUGUUUUCCUUUCAGGCAACCACAGUUUUGGCCUUUUCAUGUGAAUUCUCAAGUGAAAGCCCCCCAGAAGGGGGGCAGCUUUCUGCACUGUGCCUGAUGUGCCACUGCCCAGAUGACGGUUGCACCAAGAGCAGCUCCCAUGCUUCCAGCUGCCGGAAAACUCCAUUCUCCAUCAAGCCAAGUGGCUAAGCAGCGCAUGGCAGUUCCUGUGUGCCUCCUUUCAUUAGAUACUCAGAAAAGUGAGAAUAGCAUCACAUAAGGUGAGGUCCCACUGUUAAUAACCAGCAAGCGAGUGUAUAUUUACAAAAAAAGAUCCAAAUAAAAACCUGUGAGCUCAA